rnacentral:rRNA from 1 species
CGCGAACGGCUCAUUACAACAGCUAUUAUUUACUUGGUCCUGACAUCCUACGUGGAUAACUGUGGUAAUUCUAGAGCUAAUACAUGCACCAAAGCUCCGAUUUUUGACGAGCGCAUCUAUUAGACUAAAACCAAUCAGGCUCUGCCUGUGUUUUGGUGACUCUGAAUAGCUACAGCUGAUCGCACGGUCAUGUACCGGCGACGUGUCUAUCAAGUGUCUGCCUUAUCAACUUUCGAUGGUAGUUUAUGUGCCUACCAUGGUUGUUACGGGUAACGGAGAAUAAGGGUUCGACUCCGGAGAGGGAGCCUGAGAAACGGCUACCACAUCCAAGGAAGGCAGCAGGCGCGCAAAUUACCCACUCUCGGCAUGAGGAGGUAGUGACGAAAAAUAACGAGACCGUUCUCUAUGAGGCCGGUUAUCGGAAUGGGUACAAUCUAAACCUGUUAACGAGGAUCUAUGAGAGGGCAAGUCUGGUGCCAGCAGCCGCGGUAAUUCCAGCUCUCAAAGUGUAUAUCGUCAUUGUUGCGGUUAAAAAGCUCGUAGUUGGAUCUGCGCUUGAGGACUUGGUCCACCCGUUGGGUGCUGAACUGAGCUCCUCGGCUAUUGGUGUGCUGGUUUUCCCUACGUUGCCUUUACCGGUCGCGUAGGGUGGCUAGCGAGUUUACUUUGAAAAAAUUAGAGUGCUUCAAGCGGGCAUUGUGUCUGAAUAUUUGUGCAUGGAAUAAUAGAAUAGGAUCUCGGUUCUAUUUUGUUGGUUUUCUGAUCUGAGAUAAUGGUUAAGAGGGACAGACGGGGGCAUUCGUAUCGCUGCGUGA